GUGCUCAUUUCAACAGCACAUGUACUGAAAUUGGAACAAUACAGAGAAGAUUAGUAUGGUCCUUGUGCAAUAAUGACAUGAAAAUUAAUGAAGCAUUCCAUGUUUUU
ensembl:snRNA U6 U6 spliceosomal RNA